AAGUUUCUUACUAUUAGAAUGCUAAGUUCUCUUGCAGAAUCUACGUGGAGGGAAAGAAUUCAUUUAGACAAGAGUAGCCCUCUUGGCCAUUUUUCCUGAGGGGACCUCUACAUUUUUGUCCCCCCUCUUGCCUGUUUUGUUUGUCAACUCACUGGGUGCACACAAUUUGGUGUGUGGGUGGGGGGAGGAACAGACUUCUAUGUGUUUAGGGUGAAACUGGGUGAAGGUGAAGGUGAAGGUGAAGGUCAGGUUCAUUCCCAGAAGGUGCAGAGAACCAACUGAGAUUUAUGCCUGCAAAGGGAGAACAAAGAAAAUAAGAUGUACAUCCAAUUAACAUGGCAGAGAGGUGGGGAGUCAGGAAAAGUGCAUACAUUUCCUAUUGCUGCUAUAAUAAAUCCCCUCAAAUUCAGUGCAUUACAAUAAUAUAAACCUCCUUUCUUUUAGUUCUAGAUGUCAGACAUCUGAAAUGGGACUCACUGGGCUAAAACCAAGGAUUCUGCAGGUCAAAGCAGGACACAGACAAAUUGGGCUGCCAGGAUGAGGAGAGAUUUGCUGGAGGAGAUGGUGUCCCAACAGGCCUGAAGGAUGAGAGGGGAUUAGCAAGAGAAAGAACUCAG